rnacentral:lncRNA from 1 species
GGGCGGAGGAAAGAGGGGAGACAAUUAGCGCUACUCGUCCUCGACCUCAGUUAAGCCAAGUGUGGAGACUGGGAGGCGUGGUGGCGCUUCUCCGCCAGCAGCGGUUCGCGUCGGGCUUGCUCUACUAGCUUGUACCAAAGGAAACAAAUCCAACCUUAUAGAAAGUUCUGGGAAGAGACCAAGACUCAUGUCUGGGCAAUGUUUGGCUAAUACUGUGAAAGCUAUAAUAGAAAUUAUAACAAAAUUCUUGGUAGUGAUCAAUAACGCCAAAAAAUGAAGUGUCUUCUACACUGGACUGACAGGAACCUCUUACNGUUUUACAGGGAUAUAUGUCAGAUUUGUUAACCCGUAUUCUAAAUGAAUCCUUAUACUGGAUUUUAUUUAAUGUACAGUUCNAUGAUAUAUUCAAACUGGACUGGUCUAUGACAGCAAUAAACAUUGGUUGAAUCAGAG